GGCUUGAAUUGAAAGACGAUGGAGAGAGGAACUUAAUAUUUUUCUUCUGUUCUUCAUGUUUAAUGGGAGAUACUUUCCUUUAAAAGAAGUCAGUGAUGUACCACAAGGCAUGAGACUUCCAGAGGUUCUCAAUCAAAGUUAUCAACGCUGGGGUUUGUGUAUCCCACCCUGUCCACACCAGUCCACAAACAAGGUCUCUGAGAAGACAGAAAGAAACAAAGAUACUACAGGGCAGCAACUGGAGCUACUGCAUGACCACAGGAAGGUGGAGCACCACAUUAACCUGCAAUUCCAUUCUCUACUUGAGCUACAUUACAAAAACAUGCAAUGCUCCAGAGACAGAACUGUUCUUUUAAAUGCAAGAGCCUUUCUUUCUUCAUUUCUCUGGGAAAGGUGUGGCCAGCAGGUCAAGGGACGUGAUCCUUGCCAUCUACUCAGUCCUAGUGACACCACAUCUCUGGAGUAUUGCGCUCAUCUCUGGUCUCCACAGUUCAAGAAAGACAAGGAGCUACUGAAGAAGGUCCAGCAGAGAACCACAAAGAUGAUGGAGGAGUCUGGAGCAUCUCUUGUGAGCAGAGACUGCAAGAGCUGGACCUGUUUUUUGUGGAGAAGACUGAGAGGAAUCUCAUCAAUAUCUAUAAAUACCUCAAAGGCAGGUGCCAAGAAGGUGGUGCCAGACUCUUCAGUGAUGCCAGCAACAGGAUGA
rnacentral:lncRNA from 1 species